CUUGUCCCCAUUCCUGACUCCAAAUCCAACCCCUAAGCCUCCCCAAGCUCCUCCUAUCUAACCUUGUCUCCAGCCCCAACCACAUGGCCGUCCUCACCUCCAAUCCGUAACCAUCCCAGACCAAUCCCAAAGCCAACUCCAGCUACAUUCCCACCUCCAACCCCAAUAGCAUCUGCAUCCCCAUGCCCAACCCUAACCCCAGUGCCAUUACCAGCCCCUACCCCAUCCCUAUGCCAUCCCCACCCAGCACACCCCCAUCCUCACCUCCAUCCCCAGCCGCAUCCUAGUCCCACCCACCCCCAUCCUCAGUUCCUCCCCCUGCCGUGUGCACCUCCAACACAACGCCUCCGCCCGCUGCCUCCUCCCCGCAGGCCGCCAGGGGAGCCAGGGCUGAGCCACUCUGGGUCGGAGCAACCAGAGCAGACCGGCCUUCUCAUGGGAGGUGCCUCCGGAGGAGCCAGGGGUGGCAGCGGGGGCUUCGGAGACGAGUGCUGAGCCAAGAACCUCCUAGAGGCUGUCCCUGGACCUGGAGCUGCAGGCAUCAGAGAACCAGCCCUGCUCACGCCAUGCCCGCCCCCGCCUUCCCUCUUCCCUCUCCCUGCCCAGCCCUCCCUUCCUUCCUCUGCCGGCAAGGCAGGGACCCACAGUGGCUGCCUGCCUCCGGGAGGGAAGGAGAGGGAGGGUGGGUGGGUGGGAGGGGGCCUUCCUCCAGGGAAUGUGACUCUCCCAGGCCCCAGAAUAGCUCCUGGACCCAAGCCCAAGGCCCGGCCUGGGACAAGGCUCCGAGGGUCGGCUGGCCGGAGCUAUUUUUACCUCCCGCCUCCCUUGCUGGUCCCCCCACCUGACGUCUUGCUGCAGAGUCUUGACACUGGAUUCCCCCCCCUCACCCCGCCCCUGGUCCCACUCCUGCCCCCGCCCUACCUCCGCCCCACCCCAUCAUCUGUGGACACUGGAGUCUGGAAUAAAUGCUGUUUGUCACAUCAA
rnacentral:sRNA from 1 species